ensembl:misc_RNA
ACUGAAGUCCUCUGUUCACUGAACAGGUACAGCAUGGGCAGCGGGCAUCUACCACUCCAACCUUGUGCCUCAGCCUUGAACAGGGAGGGCUGCACUGGCACAUCUUUAACCCUGGCCCAGAAGCAUGUAGCUGCAUCAGU